rnacentral:rRNA from 1 species
CCUACGGGGGGCAGCAGUGGGGAAUCUUGCACAAUGGGCGAAAGCCUGAUGCAGCAACGCCGCGUGAAGGAAGAAGGGUUUCGGCUCGUAAACUUCUAUUAACAGGGACGAAAGAAAUGACGGUACCUGAAUAAGAAGCCUCGGCGAACUACGUGCCAGCAGCCGCGGUAAUACGUAGGGGGCAAGCGUUAUCCGGAAGUACUGGGUGUAAAGGGUGAGUAGGGGGCAUGGUAAGCCAGAUGUGAAAGCGGUGGGCGUAACACGAGGAUUGUAUUUGGAACUUUCAAGCUAGAGUACAGGAGAGGAAAGCGGAAUUCCUAGUGUAGCGGUGAAAUGCGUAGAUAUUAGGAAGAACACCAGUGGCGAAGGCGGGUUUCUGGACUGGAACUGACGCUGAGGCACGAAAGCGUGGGGAGCGAACAGGAUUAGAUACCCCUGUAGUC